UACGAAGGGGGCUAGCGUUGCUCGGAAUCACUGGGCGUAAAGCGCACGUAGGCGGAUUCUUAAGUCAGGGGUGAAAUCCUGGAGCUCAACUCCAGAACUGCCUUUGAUACUGGGAGUCUCGAGUCCGGGAGAGGUGAGUGGAACUGCGAGUGUAGAGGUGAAAUUCGUAGAUAUUCGCAAGAACACCAGUGGCGAAGGCGGCUCACUGGCCCGAUACUGACGCUGAGGCACGAAAGCGUGGGGAGCAAACAGG
rnacentral:rRNA from 1 species